UUAUGUGAUCGUCUCUCGCAUAUCAAUAAGCGGAGGAAAAGGAACUAACAAGGAUUCCCCUAGUAACGGCGAGUGAAGCGGGAAGAGCUCAAAUUUGAAAUCUUAAAGGGUUUCCCUUUACGAAUUGUAGUUUAAAGAAGUGUUUUCUGUUGAGGUUUUGGUAAAAGUUCUUUGGAAUAGGACAUCAUAGAGGGUGAGAAUCCCGUAUUUGACCUUUACUUUCAACUUUGUGAUACACUUUCAAAGAGUCGGAUUGUUUGGGAAUGCAGUCCAAAAUGGGUGGUAAAUUUCAUCUAAAGCUAAAUAUUGGCGAGAGACCGAUAGCGAACAAGUACCGUGAGGGAAAGAUGAAAAGAACUUUGAAAAGAGAGUUAAACAGUACGUGAAAUUGUCAAAAGGGAAGCGUUUGACACCAGUGUUGUUUUUCUGAAAAUCAAUUAAAGAACUGUUUAUGCUAAGUUGUUUAGACUUUAUCAGCUAACUGUUUAGUUUUGAGCUUUCUUUAAUGCACUUUUCAGUUAACAAGUCAACAUCAAUUUCUUUUGCUGUAAAAAAGCUUGAGGAAGGUGGCUUGAGAUUCGUCUUAAGUGUUUAUAGCCUCUUGCCUAUGCAGUCGGAGAGAUUGAGGUCUGCAGCGUAGAUCCUUCGGGGCUAAAUGCAUUUGUGCUAAGUUAUAGCAUUUUAUAGACAACUUGUUGACUAUGAUUUGUCUUGUAGCUUACUCGCUUAUGUUAUUUUACCUACGCUUAGGAUGUUGAUAUGCAUGACUGAUAU
rnacentral:rRNA from 1 species